rnacentral:rRNA from 1 species
GAUGAACGCUGGCGGCGUGCCUAAUACAUGCAAGUCGAGCGAACGGACGAGAAGCUUGCUUCUCUGAUGUUAGCGGCGGACGGGUGAGUAACACGUGGAUAACCUACCUAUAAGACUGGGAUAACUUCGGGAAACCGGAGCUAAUACCGGAUAAUAUUUUGAACCGCAUGGUUCAAAAGUGAAAGACGGUCUUGCUGUCACUUAUAGAUGGAUCCGCGCUGCAUUAGCUAGUUGGUAAGGUAACGGCUUACCAAGGCAACGAUGCAUAGCCGACCUGAGAGGGUGAUCGGCCACACUGGAACUGAGACACGGUCCAGACUCCUACGGGAGGCAGCAGUAGGGAAUCUUCCGCAAUGGGCGAAAGCCUGACGGAGCAACGCCGCGUGAGUGAUGAAGGUCGUCGGAUCGUAAAACUCUGUUAUUAGGGAAGAACAUAUGUGUAAGUAACUGGGCACAUCUUGACGGUACCUAAUCAGAAAGCCACGGCUAACUACG